GCAGCCGCGGUAAUACGUAGGGGGCUAGCGUUAUCCGGAUUUACUGGGCGUAAAGGGUGCGUAGGCGGUUUUUUAAGUCAGAAGUGAAAGGCUACGGCUUAACCGUAGUAAGCUUUUGAAACUGGAGAACUUGAGUGCAGGAGAGGAGAGUGGAAUUCCUAGUGUAGCGGUGAAAUGCGUAGAUAUUAGGAGGAACACCAGUAGCGAAGGCGGCUCUCUGGACUGUAACUGACGCUGAGGCACGAAAGCGUGGGGAGCAAACAGGAUUAGAUACCCC
rnacentral:rRNA from 1 species